CAGAGUAGGUGAAGGAGCGAAUAGUGUCCGAAGGACGGGGAGUUGUCUUCGGAACGAAAGGGCAGCAGCCCCGCGAUUCCCUCGCCGCAUCCCGCUGU
rnacentral:ncRNA from 1 species